rnacentral:lncRNA from 1 species
AACUACGCUUCCACUACGACUUUCCCCCGUUUACACCACGCUAUUCAAGAUCAUAGUACGAUUCUAGCACGCCCUUGCCGUCCUCAUCACGCUCUUCUUACGACCUGACUUCGUUCAUACUAUGACCAUUAUUCUCAUUGUCAUUUUCACAUAAAAUAUAUUAUAUAUCUCCAGGUUUUGUUUGUCUGUAUGAAGUUCUUGUCCAUUUUCUCAAACGGCUCAGCCAUGCUUCUCGUUUAUAUAGAUUAGACCGUUAGUUUUCCCGUUUGAAUGGUUUUACACUAUAGACGUUAUUUUUGGGGCCCUUUAUAGCUUGCUGUUCGGUGUGAGCCAAUGCUCCGUGUUGAAGGCCGUUCCUUGGCCUAUAAUGGUUUAUAAAUUGUUACUUGGAUAGAGAGCUGUCUCAUUGACACUCAUACCACAUCUUCCUAUAUCUAUUAACAUAUCUGUGUCAUCUCUGCUAUCGCUCACUAAAAUAUCGUCAUUUGAGCUUUAUGGACCCGCAACAAGUUGUAAUUUGGAUUUGAUUGGUCGGUCCGAAAACUCUGCUUGAUCAGGAUUCGUUACUGUCAGGGCUCCCUCUGCCUCUGCAUCAACGUGUUCUAGCAGAUUUUGGUGGCAUGACUGUAUUGCUUCCGAGAAAUCUAUGUAUUAAUCAGA